rnacentral:rRNA from 1 species
CAGCAGCCGCGGGAAAACGUAGGGUGCAAGCGUUAAUCGGAAUUACUGGGCGUAAAGCGUGCGCAGGCGGUGUUGUAAGACUGAUGUGAAAUCCCCGGGCUCAACCUGGGAGCUGCAUUGGUGACUGCAACGCUGGAGUGCGGCAGAGGGGGAUGGAAUUCCGCGUGUAGCAGUGAAAUGCGUAGAUAUGCGGAGGAACACCGAUGGCGAAGGCAAUCCCCUGGGCCUGCACUGACGCUCAUGCACGAAAGCGUGGGGAGCAAACAGGAUUAGAUACCCGCGUAGUCCCUGUCUCUUAUAC